CCUACGGGAGGCAGCAGUGGGGAAUAUUGCACAAUGGGGGAAACCCUGAUGCAGCGACGCCGCGUGAGUGAAGAAGUAUUUCGGUACGUAAAGCUCUAUCAGCAGGGAGGAAAAUGACGGUACCUGACUAAGAAGCCCCGGCUAACUACGGGCCAGCAGCCGCGGUAAUACGUAGGGGGCAAGCGUUAUCCGGAUUUACUGGGUGUAAAGGGAGCGUAGACGGCAGCGCAAGUCUGGAGUGAAAUCCCAUGGCUUAACCAUGGAACUGCUUUGGAAACUGUGCAGCUAGAGUGCAGGAGAGGUAAGCGGAAUUCCUAGUGUAGCGGUGAAAUGCGUAGAUAUUAGGAGGAACACCAGUGGCGAAGGCGGCUUACUGGACUGUAACUGACGUUGAGGCUCGAAAGCGUGGGGAGCAAACAGGAUUAGAUACCCUUGUAGUC
rnacentral:rRNA from 1 species